GACAGAGGGUGCAAACGUUGUUCGGAAUUACUGGGCGUAAAGCGCGUGUAGGCGGCUAUGUAAGUCGGGCGUGAAAUCCCACGGCUCAACCGUGGAAGUGCACUCGAAACUGGAUGGCUAGAGUCCUGGAGAGGAAGGUGGAAUGCUUGGUGUAGAGGUGAAAUUCGUAGAUAUCAAGCGGAACACCGGUGGCGAAGGCGGCCUUCUGGACAGUGACUGACGCUGAGACGCGAAAGCGUGGGGAGCAAACAGG
rnacentral:rRNA from 1 species